AAUGUACGCUGGCGGCAGGCCUAACACAUGCAAGUCGAACGCCCCGCAAGGGGAGUGGCGCACGGGUGAGUAACGCGUGGGAAUAUGCCCUUCGGUUCGGAAUAACACAGGGAAACUUGUGCUAAUACCGGAUACGAUCUACGGAUGAAAGAUUCAUCGCCGAAGGAGUAGCCCGCGUAGGAUUAGCUAGUUGGUGAGGUAAUGGCUCACCAAGGCGACGAUCCUUAGCUGGUCUGAGAGGAUGAUCAGCCACACUGGGACUGAGACACGGCCCAGACUCCUACGGGAGGCAGCAGUGGGGAAUAUUGGACAAUGGGCGAAAGCCUGAUCCAGCCAUGCCGCGUGAGUGAUGAGGGCCUUAGGGUUGUAAAGCUCUUUCGCCAGGGAAGAUAAUGACGGUACCUGGAAAAGAAGCCUCGGCUAACUCCGUGCCAGCCGCCGCGGUAA
rnacentral:rRNA from 1 species